rnacentral:rRNA from 1 species
UAUGGAGGGUGCAAGCGUUAAUCGGAAUUACUGGGCGUAAAGCGCACGCAGGCGGUCUGACAAGUCAGAUGUGAAAUCCCCGGGCUUAACCUGGGAACUGCAUUUGAAACUGUCAGGCUGGAGUCUUGUAGAGGGGGGCAGAAUUCCAGGUGUAGCGGUGAAAUGCGUAGAGAUCUGGAGGAAUACCGGUGGCGAAGGCGGCCCCCUGGACAAAGACUGACGCUCAGGUGCGAAAGCGUGGGGAGCAAACAGG